AUUGAACGCUGGCGGCAGGCCUAACACAUGCAAGUCGAGCGGAUGAAGGGAGCUUGCUCCUGGAUUCAGCGGCGGACGGGUGAGUAAUGCCUAGGAAUCUGCCUGGUAGUGGGGGAUAACGUCCGGAAACGGGCGCUAAUACCGCAUACGUCCUGAGGGCGAAAGUGGGGGAUCUUCGGACCUCACGCUCUCAGAUGAGCCUAGGUCGGUUUAGCUAGUUGGCGGGGUAAAGGCCUACCAAGGCGACGAUCCGUAACUGGUCUGAGAGGAUGAUCAGUCACACUGGAACUGAGACCCGGUCCAGACUCCUAGGGGAGGCAGAGUGGGGGAAUUUUGGACAAUGGGCGAAAGCCUGAUCAAGCCAUGCGGCGUGUGUGAAGAAGGUCUUCGGAUUGUAAAGCCCUUUAAGUUGGGAGAAAGGGCAGUAGGUUAAUACCUGGCUGUUUUGACGUUACCAACAGAAUAAGCACCGGCUACCUUCGU
rnacentral:rRNA from 1 species